GCUGGGCAUGGUGUUGCGUGCCUGUGGUCCCAGCUACUUGGGAGGCUGAGGUGGGAGGAUCACUUGAGCCCGGGAGGCAGAGGUUGUAGCGAGUUGAGAUUGUGCAACUGCACUCCAGCCUGGGCAACAGAGUGAGACCCUAUCUCAA
rnacentral:SRP_RNA from 1 species